rnacentral:rRNA from 1 species
CGGACGGGUGAGUAACGCGUGAGAAUCUGCCCUUUGGUCGGGGACAACCACUGGAAACGGUGGCUAAUACCGGAUAUACCUAGCGGUGAAAGAUUUAUUGCCAAAGGAGGAGCUCGCGUCUGAUUAGCUAGUUGGUGGGGUAAAAGCCUACCAAGGCGACGAUCAGUAGCUGGUCUGAGAGGACGAUCAGCCACACUGGAACUGAGACACGGUCCAGACUCCUACGGGAGGCAGCAGUGGGGAAUUUUCCGCAAUGGGCGAAAGCCUGACGGAGCAAUACCGCGUGAGGGAGGAAGGCUCUUGGGUUGUAAACCUCUUUUCUCAGGGAAGAACAAAAUGACGGUACCUGAGGAAUCAGCAUCGGCUAACUCCGUGCCAGCAGCCGCGGUAAUACGGAGGAUGCAAGCGUUAUCCGGAAUGAUUGGGCGUAAAGCGUCCGCAGGUGGCAUUGAAAGUCUGCUGUCAAAGAGUCUGGCUCAACCAGAUAAAGGCAGUGGAAACUACAAAGCUAGAGUACGUUCGGGGCAGAGGGAAUUCCUGGUGUAGCGGUGAAAUGCGUAGAGAUCAGGAAGAACACCGGUGGCGAAAGCGCUCUGCUAGGCCGUAACUGACACUGAGGGACGAAAGCUAGGGGAGCGAAUGGGAUUAGAUACCCCAGUAGUCCUAGCCGUAAACGAUGGAUACUAGGUGUUGCUUGUAUCGACCCGAGCAGUACCGUAGCUAACGCGUUAAGUAUCCCGCCUGGGGAGUACGCAGGCAACUGUGAAACUCAAAGGAAUUGACGGGGGCCCGCACAAGCGGUGGAGUAUGUGGUUUAAUUCGAUGCAACGCGAAGAACCUUACCAGGGCUUGACAUGUCGCGAACCCUUGUGAAAGCAGGGGGUGCCUUCGGGAGCGCGAACACAGGUGGUGCAUGGCUGUCGUCAGCUCGUGUCGUGAGAUGUUGGGUUAAGUCCCGCAACGAGCGCAACCCUCGUUUUUAGUUGCCAUCAUUAAGUUGGGCACUCUAGAGAGACUGCCGGUGACAAACCGGAGGAAGGUGGGGAUGACGUCAAGUCAGCAUGCCCCUUACGUCCUGGGCUACACACGUACUACAAUGCGCCGAACAGAGGGCAGCUAACCAGCGAUGGCAAGCUAAUCCCGGAAAUCGGCGCUCAGUUCAGAUCGCAGGCUGCAACUCGCCUGCGUGAAGUUGGAAUCGCUAGUAAUUGCAGGUCAGCAUACUGCAGUGAAUUCGUUCCCGGGCCUUGUACACACCGCCCGUCACACCAUGGAAGCUGGUAGUGCCCGAAGUCAUUACCCCAACCUUUCGGGGAGGGGGAUGCCUAAGGCAGGACUGGUGACUGGGGUGAAGUCGUAACAA